CAUUCCUCUUAUCAAUAAUAGACUCUAAAACAGAAAAGCACAUGCUGUAAUUUAAGAACUAUUUGUUAAUAAUCACUAAAACGUACAUAAUAUUUGACCAUUCCAGAUGUUCUUUUACAUUGAUCUUAUUCCAAAUUUCCAAUCCAUAGACUUGAGUUGUAACAUAUUAACUGGACCUAUUCCUCUUAUACUGAUGUUCACAUGACACCAUACUCCAAAUUAAACAAAAAAGGAUCAAACACAUAAACUAAAAAUAUUCAGAUAUAUAAAUCCCCUCAAAGUAGAAUACAUGAAACAAAAUAGGAACGAUAAUAUAAAAAAAUAUGCAGGAAAAUAAAUACGUAAAAAAAUAUGCAGGAAAAUAAAUAAGUCUGGAAAGUACAACAAACAAUUUCAAGUCUUAUCCCACUAAGUGGAGAUGGCUACAUGGAUCAAAAGACACCAUGAAUAAGUCUAGCGAGUAGAAAUGAGCAAAAGUGUUCUUGUUAUAAUCCAUCAAUACUUUGCAGACCGUCCUUAUUCUAAUCUUCUUAGAAAAACUCAUGCAUCCUUCACCAAGUUUUUUCUGCAACCCAACAUCUACUUGUGUUCACUGAUGUGGUGGGUCUUCA
rnacentral:lncRNA from 1 species